rnacentral:rRNA from 1 species
CGCGUAGGUGGUAGUGCAAGUCUGGGGUGGAAUCCCAGGGCUUAACCCUGGAACUGCCUUGGAAACUGUAUUACUUGAGUCAGUGAGGGGAGGGUAGAAUUCCUGGUGUAGCGGUGAAAUGCGUAGAUAUCAGGAGGAAGGCCUGUGGCGAAGGCGGCCUUCUGGCGCUGAACUGACACUGAGGCGCGAAAGCGUGGGGAGCAAACAGGAUUAGAUACCCUGGUAGUCCACGCCCUAAACGGUGGGUACUAGGUGUAGGGCUCGUAAGGGUUCUGUGCCGAAGCGAAAGCAUUAAGUACCCCGCCUGGGGAGUACGGCCGCAAGGUUGAA